rnacentral:rRNA from 1 species
GAAACAGUGGCUAAGACUGGAUAGGAAGAUAAAAGGCAUCUUUUAUCUUUUAAAAGACCUAGUAAUAGGUAUGCUUUAGGAGGGGCUUGCGCCAUAUUAGUUAGUUGGUAGGGUAAUGGCCUACCAAGACGAUGAUGUGUAGCUGGACUGAGAGGUUGAACAGCCACAUUGGGACUGAGACACGGCCCAAACUCCUACGGGAGGCAGCAGUAGGGAAUUUUCGGCAAUGGAGGAAACUCUGACCGAGCAACGCCGCGUGAAUGACGAAGUACUUCGGUAUGUAAAGUUCUUUUAUCAAGGAAGAAAAGCAAAUGGCGAACCAUUUGUUUGCCGGUACUUGAUGAAUAAGCCCCGGCUAAUUAUGUGCCAGCAGCCGCGGUAAGACAUAAGGGGCAAGUGUUAUCCGGAAUUAUUGGGCGUAAAGGGUGCGUAGGCGGUCUAGUAAGUCAGUGGUGUAAUGGCAACGCUUAACGUUGUCCGGCUAUUGAAACUGCUAAACUUGAGUUAGAUAGAGGCGAGUGGAAUUCCAUGUGUAGCGGUAAAAUGCGUAAAUAUAUGGAGGAACACCAGAGGCGUAGGCGGCUCGCUGGGUCUUAACUGACGCUGAGGCACGAAAGCGUGGGGAGCAAACAGGAUUAGAUACCCUGGUAGUCCACGCCGUAAACGAUGAGUACUAAGUGUCGGGUUAAACCGGUACUGAAGUUAACACAUUAAGUACUCCGCCUGAGUAGUACGUACGCAAGUAUGAAACUUAAAGGAAUUGACGGGACUCCGCACAAGCGGUGGAUCAUGUUGUUUAAUUCGAAGAUACCCGAAAAACCUUACCAGGUCUUGACAUGUUUUUGCAAAAUGAUAGUAAUAUCGUGGAGGUUACCAGAAACACAGGUGGUGCAUGGUUGUCGUCAGCUCGUGUCGUGAGAUGUUAGGUUAAGUCCUAAAACGAGCGAAACCCUUAUCGUUAGUUGCCAGCACGUUAUGGUGGGGACUUUAACGAGACUGCCAAUGAUAAAUUGGAGGAAGGUGAGGAUCACGUCAAAUCAGCAAUGCCCCUUAUGACCUGGGCUACAAACGUGAUACAAUGGCUGUUACAAAGGGUAGCUGAAACGCAAGUUCUUGGCCAAUCCCCAAAAACAGUCCCAGUCCGGAUUGAAGUCUGCAACUCGACUUCAUGAAGUUGGAAUCGCUAGUAAUCGCGAAUCAGCAUGUCGCGGUGAAUACGUUCUCGGGGUUUGUACACACCGCCCGUCA